rnacentral:rRNA from 1 species
GACGAACGCUGGCGGCGUGCCUAAUACAUGCAAGUAGAACGCUGAAGAGAGGAGCUUGCUCUUCUUGGAUGAGUUGCGAACGGGUGAGUAACGCGUAGGUAACCUGCCUUGUAGCGGGGGAUAACUAUUGGAAACGAUAGCUAAUACCGCAUAACAAUGGAUGACACAUGUCAUUUAUUUGAAAGGGGCAAUUGCUCCACUACAAGAUGGACCUGCGUUGUAUUAGCUAGUAGGUGAGGUAACGGCUCACCUAGGCGACGAUACAUAGCCGACCUGAGAGGGUGAUCGGCCACACUGGGACUGAGACACGGCCCAGACUCCUACGGGAGGCAGCAGUAGGGAAUCUUCGGCAAUGGGGGCAACCCUGACCGAGCAACGCCGCGUGAGUGAAGAAGGUUUUCGGAUCGUAAAGCUCUGUUGUAAGUCAAGAACGAGCGUGAGAGUGGAAAGUUCACACUGUGACGGUAGCUUACCAGAAAGGGACGGCUAACUACGUGCCAGCAGCCGCGGUAAUACGUAGGUCCCGAGCGUUGUCCGGAUUUAUUGGGCGUAAAGCGAGCGCAGGCGGUUUGAUAAGUCUGAAGUUAAAGGCUGUGGCUCAACCAUAGUUCGCUUUGGAAACUGUCAAACUUGAGUGCAGAAGGGGAGAGUGGAAUUCCAUGUGUAGCGGUGAAAUGCGUAGAUAUAUGGAGGAACACCGGUGGCGAAAGCGGCUCUCUGGUCUGUAACUGACGCUGAGGCUCGAAAGCGUGGGGAGCGAACAGGAUUAGAUACCCUGGUAGUCCACGCCGUAAACGAUGAGUGCUAGGUGUUGGAUCCUUUCCGGGAUUCAGUGCCGCAGCUAACGCAUUAAGCACUCCGCCUGGGGAGUACGACCGCAAGGUUGAAACUCAAAGGAAUUGACGGGGGCCCGCACAAGCGGUGGAGCAUGUGGUUUAAUUCGAAGCAACGCGAAGAACCUUACCAGGUCUUGACAUCCCGAUGCUAUUUCUAGAGAUAGAAAGUUACUUCGGUACAUCGGUGACAGGUGGUGCAUGGUUGUCGUCAGCUCGUGUCGUGAGAUGUUGGGUUAAGUCCCGCAACGAGCGCAACCCCUAUUGUUAGUUGCCAUCAUUCAGUUGGGCACUCUAGCGAGACUGCCGGUAAUAAACCGGAGGAAGGUGGGGAUGACGUCAAAUCAUCAUGCCCCUUAUGACCUGGGCUACACACGUGCUACAAUGGUUGGUACAACGAGUUGCGAGUCGGUGACGGCAAGCUAAUCUCUUAAAGCCAAUCUCAGUUCGGAUUGUAGGCUGCAACUCGCCUACAUGAAGUCGGAAUCGCUAGUAAUCGCGGAUCAGCACGCCGCGGUGAAUACGUUCCCGGGCCU